CCUGAUAGCUCAGUUGGUAAAGUAUCUGCCUGCAAUGCAGGAGACCCUGGUUUGAUUCCUAGAUCAGGA
rnacentral:tRNA from 1 species